UAGGGAAUCUUCGGCAAUGGACGAAAGUCUGACCGAGCAACGCCGCGUGAGUGAAGAAGGUUUUCGGAUCGUAAAACUCUGUUGUUAGAGAAGAACAAGGACGUUAGUGACUGAACGUCCCCUGACGGUAACUAUCCAGAAAGCCACAGCUAACUACGUGCCAGCAGCCGCGGUAAUACGUAGGUGGCAAGCGUUGUCCGGAUUUAUUGGGCGUAAAGCGAGCGCAGGCGGUUUCUUAAGUCUGAUGUGAAAGCCCACGGCUCAACCGGGGAAGGUCAUUGGAAACUGGGAGACUUGAAUGCAGAAGAGGAGAGUGGAAUUCCAUGUGUAGCGGUGAAAUGCGUAGAUAUAUGGAGGAACACCAGUGGCGAAGGCGGCUCUCUGGUCUGUAACUGACGCUGAGGCUCGAAAGCGUGGGGAGCAAACAGG
rnacentral:rRNA from 1 species